AUUGAACGCUGGCGGCAGGCCUAACACAUGCAAGUCGAGCGAGCGGCGGACGGGUGAGUAAUGUAUGGGGACUGCCCGACAGCGGGGGAUAACUACUGGAAACGGUAGCUAAUACCGCAUACUAUCGGAUAACCCAUAUGGGAUCAGCUAGUAGGUGGGGUAAUGGCUCACCUAGGCGACGAUCCCUAGCUGAUCUGAGAGGAUGAUCAGCCACACUGGGACUGGGACACGGCCCAAACUCCUACGGAGGCAGCAGUGGGGAAUAUUGCACAAUGGGCGAAAGCCUAAUGCAACCAUGCCGCGUAUAUAAGGAAGGCCCUGGGGUUGUAAAGUACGUUCAGUCGGGAGGCGUUACCGACAGAAGAAGCACCGGCUAACUCCGUGCCAGCAGCCGCGGUAAUAC
rnacentral:rRNA from 1 species